rnacentral:rRNA from 1 species
GACGAACGCUGGCGGCGUGCUUAACACAUGCAACUCGAACGGAGAAUUUUACUUCGGUGAAAUUCUUAGUGGCGUACGGGUGAGUAACGCGUAGACAACCUGCCUCUUAGAUGGGGACCACAUCGCGAAAGGGGUGCUAAUACCGAAUGAAGUGUAGCUUCCGCAUGGAAGCAUGCACUGACGCGGCCCCUAUUCACAAGCUACCACUGAGAGCUGGGUCUGCGUCUGAUAAGCUAGUUGGCGGGGUAAUGGCCCACCAAGGCGACGAUCAGUAGCCGGUCUGAGAGGAUGAACGGCCACAUUGGGACUGAGACACGGCCCAAACUCCUACGGGAGGCAGCAGUGGGGAAUCUUCCGCAAUGGACGAAAGUCUGACGGAGCAACGCCGCGUGAGUGAAGAAGGUUUUCGGAUCGUAAAGCUCUGUUGUUUGAGACGAAUGUGCAGACCUUGAAUAAGGGUUUGUAAUGACGGUAUUAAACGAGAAAGCCACGGCUAACUACGUGCCAGCCGCCGCAGUAA